GGGUGGGACUUCUCCAUUAUAAUGAGGAUGUAUGAUAAGUGUCCCCAACGUACACACAGCUUUUAAUACCUUUUUGAACCAUUCAUGUACGAUUUGAGGCAAGUGUUGAAAUCUUUUGACAACCAUAUGAAAAUGAUGACUCCGCGCAAUAACUAGUAAGAAUAUAUCAACAACUUUUUCUACAGUCAACAUAUCUCUAUCUCUCAAAACGUUAACCGACAAUUAUCGUAAUUGAUCACACAAUGCUCUGAACACAUGUGGCAUCAUUCAAAAACUUUUAAAGCAUCUUUUUGAAUGCCCGUUCAUAAGCUCAAGUAUGUAUUCUCGAUCUUGCAAGAUAGAUGUCCUGCAAGGUUGGUGAGACAUCCUAUCUUGAUAAUUUUUCUUUAAAGUAAGCACUCUAAUGUCCUCUAGAUCUUCAUCAAUUUCAUC
rnacentral:lncRNA from 1 species